CCUACGGGUGGCAGCAGUGAGGAAUAUUGGUCAAUGGCCGGAAGGCUGAACCAGCCAAGCCGCGUGAGGGAGGAAGGCGCAGAGCGUCGCAGACCUCUUUUGCCGGGGGACAAAAGGCCGGACUCGUCCGGUCCUGAGGGUACCCGGAGAAAAAGCAUCGGCUAACUCCGUGCCAGCAGCCGCGGUAAUACGUAGGGGGCAAGCGUUAUCCGGAUUUACUGGGUGUAAAGGGAGCGUAGGCGGUGCAGCAAGUCAGAAGUGAAAGCCCGGGGCUCAACUCCGGGACUGCUUUUGAAACUGUUGAACUAGAUUGCAGGAGAGGUAAGUGGAAUUCCUGGUGUAGCGGUGAAAUGCGUAGAUAUUAGGAGGAACACCAGUGGCGAAGGCGGCUUACUGGACUGUAAAUGACGCUGAGGCUCGAAAGCGUGGGGAGCAAACAGGAUUAGAUACCCGGGUAGUC
rnacentral:rRNA from 1 species